rnacentral:lncRNA from 1 species
UCUUAUAGCAGAUAAGGCAAGCCUACUCAACUAAUCUCAUGUAAACGCCUGUUCGCUAAAAUCCAAAUAGAAAAAGACAACUACUUAUUAAACAUGUAGUUGAGUGCUCCGUCGUUGUUCGGAUCUUGACCGAGUCCGAGCUUCCCAAGCUCUAUGCUGUUUGGGAACUCAGCAAGGGUCUUACCACCUUCUUGAUUGACUAUAUUUGAGUCUUUGGGGUACUUUAGGAUUAUAUUCCGCGCCGAAGAUUUUUGCUUGUGGGCUAGGGUGAAUAUAGCGGACCAGCGGAUCUGGUAGUUGACAAUCGUUCGGACUUGGUAAAGGUUGUCGCAGCACCUGUAGUAGGACAGAGGACUUAUCGCGAUGCCCGCGGACCAAUUUACUAUGUCUCUGUCGCUGACGUU